AACGAACGUUGGCGGCGUGGAUGAGGCAUGCAAGUCGAACGCGAAAGCCGCAAGGUGAGUAGAGUGGCGGACGGGCGAGUAACACGUAAUCAAGCUACCUGCGAGACGGGGAUAACCUCGGGAAACCGAAGCUAAGACCCGAUGGUUUGCGCGGACCGCAUGGUCCAUGCAAUAAAUGGGCGGGAUCCUCCGGGACCGCCUGCUCGCAGAGGUGAUUGCGGCCCAUCAGCUAGUUGGUAGGGUAACGGCCUACCAAGGCAACGACGGGUAGCCGGCCUUAGAGGGUGGUCGGCCGCACUGGGACUGAGACACUGCCCAGACUCCUACGGGAGGCUGCAGUCGAGAAUCUUCCGCAAUGGGCGAAAGCCUGACGGAGCGACGCCGCGUGGAGGACG
rnacentral:rRNA from 1 species